GACGAACGCUGGCGGCGUGCUUAACACAUGCAAGUCGUACGGUAAGGCCCUUUCGGGGGUACACGAGUGGCGAACGGGUGAGUAACACGUGAGUAACCUGCCCACAACUUUGGGAUAACGCUAGGAAACUGGUGCUAAUACUGGAUAUGUGCUCCUGCUGCAUGGUGGGGGUUGGAAAGCUCCGGCGGUUGUGGAUGGACUCGCGGCCUAUCAGCUUGUUGGUGGGGUAGUGGCCUACCAAGGCGGCGACGGGUAGCCGGCCUGAGAGGGUGACCGGCCACAUUGGGACUGAGAUACGGCCCAGACUCCUACGGGAGGCAGAAGGGGGGAAUAUUGCACAAUGGGCGCAAGCCUGAUGAAGAAACGCCGCGUGCGGGAUGACGGCCUUCGGGUUGUAAACCGCUUUCAGCAGGGACGAAGCUUUUUGUGACGGUACCUGCAGAAGAAGCACCGGCUAACUACGUG
rnacentral:rRNA from 1 species